rnacentral:lncRNA from 1 species
CUACUCGGAGGUCCUUCAUAUAAACUGCUAUCUAACUGGGAAGAGGAGAAUUCACCCUACCACUUGGACCAGGCAUUGAAAGUCGAAACUGCUUCGAGAUGCAGUACUGCCUCCAGAGCCGAACGACAUCAGAUUAAGACAAGGAAAAAAUUUUCACGUUCGGAUCUGAAAGGGAAUCAUCAACCAGAUCACCCAACCAACUACCUUGAGGAGGUUCUGCAGGCCCAUAUAUCGGUUUCUUACCCUUCCUACUCCUAUCGGAAGCCAUUAUCAAAGAAAAAGAAAGUCAACAAAGAAGGAAGGGAAGAUGAA